CACUCGAGGACGGCGCGGCGGCGGUGGCGGAACGGUGCUGCGGCGGCAUGGGCCACGCCCCCAGCGAGGAUGCGCUGUCACACUACCACAAGAGCGUCGUUGGGGAGACGCACACAUAUGCGCACACGCGUGGCUGCUGACAUCACCACGGAUUGGGCUCGCGCUCCCCCCCGGCUGUAAAGCGAGGACACACGGCGUAGGUCAGGAGGAGGACACUCGGGUGCAGGACGCAUUCGUGAGUGGCGUUGGAAAGCGAGACAACGGUGACGGACACCAUGAUGUCUUUUUGCUGCUGAGAAAGAUCAACGUGGCAGCGUCUGCGGGAAGAAAAGGAAUGAAUAAAUAUUUUCCAAUGCA